rnacentral:snoRNA from 1 species
AUCCUUUCGUAGCUCAUAAGCAUGAUGAUUGGGUGUUCACGCGGAUGUGUGAGAUGUGCCUCCCUCAAACCUUGUUACAUCAUCGGCACAUUACCUGUCCGACG